rnacentral:rRNA from 2 species
UAAUACCCACGGACGAUGACAUUAGCUGCAGAAUAAGCACCGGCUAACUCUGUGCCAGCAGCCGCGGUAAUACAGAGGGUGCAAGCGUUAAUCGGAAUUACUGGGCGUAAAGGGAGCGUAGGUGGCUCUAUAAGUCAGAUGUGAAAUCCCCGGGCUUAACCUGGGAACUGCAUCUGAAACUGUAGAGCUAGAGUAUGUGAGAGGAAGGUAGAAUUCCAGGUGUAGCGGUGAAAUGCGUAGAGAUCUGGAGGAAUACCGAUGGCGAAGGCAGCCUUCUGGCAUAAUACUGACACUGAGGCUCGAAAGCGUGGGUAGCAAACAGGAUUAGAUACCCUGGUAGUCCACGCCGUAAACGAUGUCUACUAGUCGUUGGGUCCCUUGAGGACUUAGUGACGCAGCUAACGCAAUAAGUAGACCGCCUGGGGAGUACGGCCGCAAGGUUAAAACUCAAAUGAAUUGACGGGGGCCCGCACAAGCGGUGGAGCAUGUGGUUUAAUUCGAUGCAACGCGAAGAACCUUACCUGGUCUUGACAUAUCUAGAAUCCUGCAGAGAUGCGGGAGUGCCUUCGGGAAUUAGAAUACAGGUGCUGCAUGGCUGUCGUCAGCUCGUGUCGUGAGAUGUUGGGUUAAGUCCCGCAACGAGCGCAACCCUUGUCCUUAGUUACCAGCGGGUUAAGCCGGGAACUCUAAGGAUACUGCCAGUGACAAACUGGAGGAAGGCGGGGACGACGUCAAGUCAUCAUGGCCCUUACGACCAGGGCUACACACGUGCUACAAUGGUAGGUACAGAGGGCAGCUACACAGCGAUGUGAUGCGAAUCUCAAAAAGCCUAUCGUAGUCCAGAUUGGAGUCUGCAACUCGACUCCAUGAAGUAGGAAUCGCUAGUAAUCGCGGAUCAGAAUGCCGCGGUGAAUACGUUCCCGGGCCUUGUACACACCGCCCGUCACACCAUGGGAGUUGAUUGCACCAGAAGUGGAUAGCU